rnacentral:rRNA from 1 species
UACGUAGGUGGCGAGCGUUAUCCGGAAUUAUUGGGCGUAAAGAGCGCGCAGGUGGUUGAUUAAGUCUGAUGUGAAAGCCCACGGCUUAACCGUGGAGGGUCAUUGGAAACUGGUCGACUUGAGUGCAGAAGAGGGAAGUGGAAUUCCAUGUGUAGCGGUGAAAUGCGUAGAGAUAUGGAGGAACACCAGUGGCGAAGGCGGCUUCCUGGUCUGUAACUGACACUGAGGCGCGAAAGCGUGGGGAGCAAACGGGAUUAGAUACCCGGGUAGU